UCAUCCAAAGGUUUUAAGAGGAGAAAUCGACUGAACAACAAUGACAUCGUAAGCAAUAAAAUGAUGCGGGUCCAUCCCUGCGGCGAGUCCAGUGGUGGUUUCAGGUUCUAUGAUGAGUUUUGCCUAUUCUUCUGAUUCAAGCUACUUCAGAUAUGGUAGAGGGAUUUAAUUCUUCGAAACCCAAGAUCUUGACAAGGUUAAAUUCUGAAAAGGUAUCAAGUAUGUUGGCUUCUCCAAGUAUGUUUAUGUAGAUGAUUCAAUGGAUGAUAUUGGUGGGAUUCUAAUUCUAUUGGAAUGGAAUGACGAAUUCCAAUUCUGUUGGAAUGGAAUGACGAAUUCCAAUUCUGUUGGAAUGGAAUGAUGAAUUCCAAUUCUGUUGGAAUCACAGAAGUUGAUGCUUGAAGAACGGACCACAUUAUUCUUUUAGAAUGUAUUAGUCGUUGUUAGAUUUUGAUGUUUUCUUCCCCGUUUUGAUUGUUUUUAUAGUUUUAUUCUUUAACAAUAAAUGUAAUUCUUAAUAAUUGUUACCCAUAUUCUAUAAGAACUAAUGUAUUUUUAUUUUUAUUCUUCA